GUCUGUAUUCAUACUGAAAAUCAAGAUCAAACGAGCUUUUGCCCUUCUGCUCCACUGGAGGUUUCUGUCCUCCCUGAGCUCGCCUUAGGACCUCCCUAAGGCGUCCGUGUAGGAAAAGAGUGU